GUGAAUCAUCGAAUCUUUGAACGCAAAUUGCACUCUCCGCGGAUAGGGUGCCUGUUUGAGUUUCGCGGUAACAAAAAUCAAAACGUCGCUCUGUUUUUGUCAUUUGGGUCGCGGCGGCGGUGGUCCGUCGUUCAGAUGUUGGUUCAGUGCAAAGUGGCUUGGCAUGCAUCCAUCCGAUACGAUUAAAUCAUAUUUAAGAUCAACUUUGAUUAAGAACGCGCGUUUGACGU
rnacentral:misc_RNA from 1 species